rnacentral:rRNA from 1 species
AUGACGCCCAAACGUAAAAGAGAUGACACACCUCCUGAUGAUAAAAACAAGUCUUCUGAGAAGAACGAUAACAAGAACACUUCCUCCUACCGGGGCGGCAAAGCCUGUUGCUUGCAGCCACCUGUCGAGGAGAAGCAAGAUGAGCCUGAGGAAAGUUUAAACUCUGAAAGUGAGACUAGUGGAUUGAAUGGGCCUCUGUUGAUUGAGGAGAUGGCAAUGGAACUUGCUGCCUCUUGCUCUCAACAGGAGGGUUCGGUGGUGGUCCCUGGUGGUAAUGAUGAUGAUCAUGAUCCUGUUGAUCAUGAGUCUGGAUACAACCAAACCCUGAAGAUUUCUGAGGUAAUGGGAGAGGUGGAAGCAAACAUGAAGAUGUCGAACGACUACACGCCAGCGAAUGCUCACCUCCAGCAUAUGGACAUGGAAGCAAGGGCUGCUCAUCUGGCCAGUAUCAGAAAUCUGAAAGGUAACACUAGCACUGUUAAUCACAACGCAUUUGCUGUUUUGGCUGACAAUGAAAUUAUUAGUCGUGCGUCUAAGAUGGUGGUGUUAAUUCCGGAUAAUGACUUUUCUUGUGUUGAUAUCCUGAGAGAGUUGGAAUCUGUUAGAAAUAAUCUGGUAGAAAAAGACAACAAGCCUAUAGAUGACCAGGGGGGAUGA